UUGAACAAUCCGACGCUUGGCGAAGGAUGACGAUCACAGAGUGCUUUAGUUGCAAGUCCAAAGUACAGAAGAUAGAACGGUCAGUGCAUUGGCGGACAUCAACAUCAUGGAGAUAGAAAAGUAAAGCCCCCGAACAGAUUCACUCAAUCGUCUGCCCGUGAGACCCUGAGAAUCAUCCAGUAGCCUCACCCUUGGGCAGACAGAAACUCUCUGGGAUCCGAAAGCAACAUCCUUCGCAAACGCCUCGAUACCUAAAGUUUAUCUGUCUCCCCCCCGGCACGAGUCUAAACGACCACACUUGUGGUGAUAUAUCACAGCACAAUAGAUUGGAGCGGGUGAAGCCACUAGAGAGAGAACCCCAAGCUCUUUAUGUCUGCCGAUGCAAUGCGCGAAAGCUCCUUCUAUAAAACACAGGUGGACACAAGA
rnacentral:rRNA from 1 species